UACAGAGGUGUCAAACGUUGUCCGGAAUUAUUGGGCGUAAAGGGCGCGUAGGCGGCCGGGUAAGUGAGAUGUGAAAGCUCUGGGCUCAACCCAGGAAUUGCAUUUCAUACUGCUCGGCUUGAGAUUGGUAGAGGAUGGCGGAAUUCCAGGUGUAGCGGUGAAAUGCGUAGAUAUCUGGAGGAACACCUGUGGCGAAGGCGGGUCUCUGGACAGUUCCUGACGCUGAGGGACGAAAGCUAGGGGAGCAAACGGG
rnacentral:rRNA from 1 species